UUAUUCAUUUCAUUUUAAUAAAUAUAUUGAAUACAAGAAAAAUACACUAGUUUUCAAGUAAAUAAUUUGGUCUAGGCAUCAUUAUCAACCUUGUGAAAUGCACCUUUUAUAUUGACAUUGGAAGACUGAUUUGAGCUCACCAGGAAUUGUACCUUUGACCCAGAGAUAAUGAGCUGGAGCAUUAAUUAUGGAGGUAUUUUUUCAGGCACAGAAUUCAGAACAUGUACAAAAUAAAGAAAACAUAACAAAAUUUUCAGAUAAAUAUAGGUUUAUGUUCAGGUUAGCAAGCUUUUUAAUUGAGAAAAUAAAUGUAUUUAAACAAAAAACAAACAAAAAAAAAAAAAAACAAACAAGCAAACCACUUUAUUUUCAACCCAAAGGAGAAAAAAAA